ACUGAACGCUGGCGGCAUGCCUUACACAUGCAAGUCGAACGGCAGCGGACCUUCGGGUGCCGGCGAGUGGCGAACGGGUGAGUAAUAUAUCGGAACGUACCUUUCAGUGGGGGAUAACGUAGCGAAAGUUACGCUAAUACCGCAUAUUCUGUGAGCAGGAAAGCAGGGGAUCGCAAGACCUUGCGCUGAUUGAGCGGCCGAUAUCAGAUUAGCUAGUUGGUGAGGUAAAGGCUCACCAAGGCGACGAUCUGUAGCGGGUCUGAGAGGAUGAUCCGCCACACUGGAACUGAGACACGGUCCAGACUCCUACGGGAGGCAGCAGUGGGGAAUUUUGGACAAUGGGCGCAAGCCUGAUCCAGCCAUGCCGCGUGAGUGAAGAAGGCCUUCGGUUGU
rnacentral:rRNA from 1 species